rnacentral:tRNA from 1 species
GGAGGUAUAGCUCAGUGGUAGAGCGUAUGCUUAGCAUGCAUGAGGUCCUGGGUUCAAUCCCCAGGACCUCCA